rnacentral:lncRNA from 1 species
GUAGUAGAAAUAUUUUGCUUUAUGCAUAUUUAUUUCUUCAGUGUAUUUUGCAUCAACUCUAACAUGGUGCUCUGGUUUAGGUAGGAAUUAAAACCAAGCUGCCCAACACAGGGCUUUUGCACAACCAGACAACAUUAUGCAGACAAAUCUUUAGUAGGCAUUCAUUUAAUACCUCGGAGAAGAGACAACUAAGUAAAGCCUAUCAAAAACCUGAAAAAAAGCAAAAAUCUCCAAAUAAGGAGGAGGUGACUGUUUGCAUGCAUAUCUGCCAUGAAGUAAGGAUCUCUAAUGGGAACUGAAAUUGAGAGUGUCAUUUGGAAAGAUGUGGAGUAUCUGUAUCUGCAGCUUAGC